AUGUCAGCCAGGAGGAUGUUCCCCUCGUAAUAUCAGAUGGAGGAGACUCUGAGCAGUUCCUAGAUGAGGAGCGUCAGGGACCACCUUUGGGAGGACAGCAAUCUCAACCCUCUGCUGGUGAUGGGAACCAGGAUGAUGGCCCUCAGCA
rnacentral:sRNA from 1 species